UACGAAGGGGGCUAGCGUUGUUCGGAUUUACUGGGCGUAAAGCGUGCGCAGGCGGUGAUGUAAGACAGUUGUGAAAUCCCCGGGCUCAACCUGGGAACUGCAUUUGUGACUGCACGGCUGGAGUGCGGCAGAGGGGAUGGAAUUCCGCGUGUAGCAGUGAAAUGCGUAGAUAUGCGGAGGAACACCGAUGGCGAAGGCAAUCCCCUGGGCCUGCACUGACGCUCAUGCACGAAAACGUGGGGAGCAAACAGG
rnacentral:rRNA from 1 species